UACGGAGGUGGCAAGCGUUGCUCGGAAUCACUGGGCGUAAAGGGCGCGUAGGCGGGGAGGUAAGUCGGGUGUGAAAGCCCUCGGCUCAACCGAGGAACUGCAUCCGAUACUGGCGGGCUUGAAUCCGGGAGAGGGAUGUGGAAUUCCAGGUGUAGCGGUGAAAUGCGUAGAUAUCGGGAGGAACACCAGUGGCGAAGGCGACUACCUGGCCUGUUCUUGACGCUGAGGCGCGAAAGCUAGGGAG
rnacentral:rRNA from 1 species